ACGGCCCAAAUUCACUUGAAAGGACUAUAUAACCAAGGCCUCUCCACCCGUGGGGAGAGAAGAGAAGAGAAGAAAUCAUUAUUCAGAGGUAGCCAUCAAAGUUAGGGUUUAGAGCUUCUCUCCCACAGAGAAUUAGAAUUAGCUACUCCCUAAUCCUUCAAGUUGAGAGGUUUGAUUAGAUAGCAAUUAGAGUAGAGCACUACGCUCUGGGUUCGGAUCUUCGGUAAUAAAGAUUGGUAUUAUUCAUAUCUUUCUCUAAUUCUUUGUUCUAAUUG
rnacentral:lncRNA from 1 species